rnacentral:rRNA from 1 species
AUUGAACGCUGGCGGCAUGCUUUACACAUGCAUGUCGAACGGUAACAGGCCGCAAGGUGCUGACGAGUGGCGAACGGGUGAGUAAUGCAUCGGAACGCGCCCAGUCGUGGGGGAUAACGCAGCGAAAGCUGCGCUAAUACCGCAUACGAUCUAUGGAUGAAAGCGGGGGACCGUAAGGCCUCGCGCGAUUGGAGCGGCCGAUGUCAGAUUAGGUAGUUGGUGGGGUAAAGGCUCACCAAGCCAACGAUCUGUAGCUGGUCUGAGAGGACGACCAGCCACACUGGACUGAGACACGGCCCAGACUCCUACGGGAGGCAGCAGUGGGGAAUUUUGGACAAUGGGCGCAAGCCUGAUCCAGCAAUGCCGCGUGCAGGAAGAAGGCCUUCGGGUUGUAAACUGCUUUUGUACGGAACGAAACGGUCCUGGUUAAUACCUGGGGCUAAUGACGGUACCGUAAGAAUAAGCACCGGCUAACUACGUGCCAGCCGCCGCGGUAACAC